rnacentral:other from 1 species
CGGGCGCUGAGCCGGUGCGUCAGGUCGAUAAUCACUGGGGCCAAUAAGAACCUCUAGGGAGCUGUCCCUGCCGGAGCCGUGGUUCCGGUAUAUGGCGCCCACCUGCACUGCAGGCCCGAGGGGAUUUGGGACCAACGACCGGGUCGGCUCCGUC